GAUGAUCUGGAUGAUGAGCGGACCCCAGCGCGCGAAUUGCGCGAUGAAGCCGGUUUCCACCAUCACCAGCGCAGCGACGGUGACGUAGAUGGCGUACUCGAGGCAGCGUCGAAGGAGCGGCACGAGCCGACGAAGGU
rnacentral:misc_RNA from 1 species